rnacentral:rRNA from 1 species
CACGUAGGGCGCAAGCGUUGUCCGGAAUUAUUGGGCGUAAAGAGCUCGUAGGCGGUCUGUUGCGUCCGCUGUGAAAACUCGGGGCUUAACCCCGAGCCUGCAGUGGAUACGGGCAGACUAGAGGUAGGUAGGGGAGAAUGGAAUUCCCGGUGUAGCGGUGAAAUGCGCAGAUAUCGGGAGGAACACCGGUGGCGAAGGCGGUUCUCUGGGUCUUACCUGACGCUGAGGAGCGAAAGCGUGGGGAGCGAACAGG